CCCUUUCAUCUCGUUGAUAACAAGAAGAGCAAAGUGAUGAACCUACAAGGCAAGAUGAGAAACUUCUUGGACCUCACGACUUUCUGCUAUUGCCACACUUAUGAGGACACAGGAGGAAAUUCUCUGGUUCAAGGAAGGCAUGGUGCUGGCUAGGCUGGGACUCGAUCAUGAUAUAGAUGUCUUGCGUCUCUCAUUACAGAUCCACAGAUUCUGUAUUGCAGAAGUAACAAGAGAGCACUCACUCCUAGGCAUGCCUACAUCAUUCCGAGUCCAGAAUCUACUGCUGGCUCUCUGAUCCCUAGUGCACUGUCUUCAUGGAUACCCCAGCAGAUCCUUGUCAUGCACGUCUCUUUGUUUUAUCUCGACAUCAUGAUUCUGAAGAGUUGCAUUGCUGCAAAAACAAUGUUGCCCCAAGGAGAGAGUUUCCUACAUCCACUUGAGAAACUGAAACUAAAGAUUUAAGCUGCCCAUGGGUAUUCUACUCCCAAUAUUUGCAACAUGCUUUUUAAAGAAUCUGCACAUCUGAACGUGAAGUUGCCCAACCGAGGGAUACUAGUGUCCAUGAUCAGAGCUUGAGAAACAGAUCCUUUCAUACUUGAGGAACAGUACAAUAUCAAAGUAUAGCUGGUAAUCUGAACAUUUGAAAUUUGGUCGGCAGAGGGGUGCAAGUAUUCAAGUGAUGCAGAGAAUAUUUGCAAUGGCAGCAGGGCAGUGCAUCCAUCGUCACUCCUCACAUCGUUUCCAGAAUGAGGAUCACAAGUAUUCAAGGGAUGCAGAGAACAUUGGAAACGGCAGCAGGACAGAGCAUCAAUCAUCACUCCUCACAUCGUUUCCAGAAUGAAGAUCACAACUAUUCACUAGAUGCAAUGAACAUUGGUAAUGGCAGCAGGGCAGAGCAUCCAUCGUCGCCCCUCACAUAGUCUCCAGAAUGAGGAUCGCAAGUAUUCAAGGGAUGCAUAGAACAUUGGCAAUGGUAGCAGGGCAGAGCAUCCAUUGUCAUUACCUUACAUCGUUUCCAGAAUGAGGAUCACAAGAGAGGUUUGGCUGUCUUGUUUGUGUCGUAGCCAUGAUUGAUGGUUGUGAAGUUGUGGCGAUGAGUCUGUGUUUACAUUUCCAAAUCAUAUGUAGAAACUUUUGCAUUGUAUAGGUAAAUAGGUAUUUUAUUUCAUUUUUCAUUGUGUUGUAGGGUGCGACUAAGGCCUAGUGUAACUGCUAGAUUUAAUUUAAUUUGGGGUAUUUUUCUGAUGGUUUUAAAAUUAUUACUGGUAUGUUUUGAUCCAUCAUUGAUAAUCUAAAACAUUGCUCAGAAAAAUGAAAUAUCAGAACAUGUAGAUAUUCCCCCCCCCCCCCAAAAAAAAGAAGCAAAGAAUUACAAGACAACAUCUUGCUCAAGAGAGUGACUCAAUGCUCAAUAAUGAAAAAUGAUAAGUUUUGAUUGAAUUAUUAGCUGAAAUUGUAAAUGAUUGUCUAUGCAUCUAAACAUACAUUCCAAAAAUAUUCAGCCCCAAAAUAAUGGCGUAUAGUUGUAUGCUUCAAAAAGCGCAUUCAUAUUGUUGGUGCACCUCAAGAGUGUGGUUAUCUGAUAUUUGCUUCUGCAACAUUUGCUCUGGGCUUUAUUAUUUUACAUGGUGGUUUUAACAUAGUGUUGGAACCAGGUUAGAGGUCAAGAAUUUGGAAUGUGUUUAAACAAAAAUUGUUCUUGAGCAGCUGUCGUAAAAUCCAGAAAGGCAAAAAUAUUCUCGUGAGAUAUGGGAUACACCAAGGAGGGCAAACAUUAUUGCCCCAUUACCCCCACUCCUUCCGUAAAGAUCCCUCGCCCCCCCCCCCCCAAAAAAAAAGGGCAAAAUUGAUAAUGUUAUUAACAUAAUUGAAUAAUUUGGUAUAUAAAAAUAUCAAAUAGAUGAAGAGUUUCACCAACUGUGGAUUAUACCUAGCUGUAAAAGUCCUGAUAAGUUUUUCUUUCUGUGUUUCUGGUUUGUGUGUUGAACGUCUUUGUAUGAUUCCAGUGUGUUUGUGUAUGACCAUGUGAUAUGAUCUGAAUACUGUUGUUGUUUUGGUCUAUAGGCAUUUAUCAUUUAGGAGUGAAUAUCUAAGCCUCUUCUGUUCGGAUCUUUUUCCUUUCAAAUUAGAUUUUAAUACUUUAGUUUUAAUAUAAAGAUUAGGAUAAAUUAGAUUCUUAAAAGUUACACUCUAUUUUUUUAAAAGUUGAAGUGUUCAGUGGCUGACGAGCAAAAGGCCUAUCGGCUAUAUUGGACGUCCAAGGACCAACUCAGACACAGUACGUUGUGACAAGUUUCUCAACUCGGCCUAAUGCUGAGCCUAGGCCCUCUGACGUCCACCAUUAAGUCUAGACGUCUCCACCGCAUUUCUUCAAGAUUUGUCCCAAAACCAAUAAAAAACAUAUAAUAUACAUGAAGAUUCUAAACGUUAAUAUAGGCAGUUCUCUCUUCUCUUCUUUAGUACUUUUCUACUUUUUUUCUUCUUUCCCUCUUCUUCUUCUUCAUGUAUCACUCACUAUAAAAAAGCGAAACAUCUUGAGCUUGAAUAAUUAAGUGCGGUGCAAAGUGGUUAGUAUGGGUACAGGUGUACCCUUUUAGCUCUAGAUACAAAGUUGACCAGAGCCUGUUGGUGGUUAAUGUCUGUGGAAUUUAGUAUUGGGAUUGCUAUUUUGUUUUCUAUGCCAGAUUCUGUAAUAAGCAUGGCUCUCUAUAAGGAAGAGAUAGCACUUGCAUACGAAAUGGCUAACUGUUUCUUUUUCCGUGCUCACAGUCCAGUCUCAUGUUCAUUUAACCUAAAGUUCCCCAUUCUUACCAGCUAAUCUUACUCAAAGCCUAGACCUAUUGAAUAAGAUCUAAAUGGACAAACAAAUUUCUGCUCUUUUUUUAAACCUACAUGUAGAUACCAAAAAAUGAGAUCUUCUGCAGACUUAUUAAAGUAUUUAGCUCUAUAUUUCAAUGAUAGCUCUUUGGUUAUGUGUGAGUGAACUACAUGUAGACCAUGUUGCUUGCAUUGUUUUUUUAAAGUCUAUUGUCUCUGGGUUCGGCUGUGUCUAUUUUGGAAUAUUUAUAUGCCCAGUCAUGCUAAGUAGUCAUUUUGAUGGAGACAAACUUGCUUGCACGCAGAUAUAUUUUUAGGCAAGUUGGGCAAGUAAUGAAAAAUCUUUGACGUAAUCGCAGUACCAUGCCAAAAGAUCUGAUUUUAUAUUAUAUUUAUGCAUAGGAUGGCAUGUUGUAGACUACUGGCCUGGCCACUGUUUUCGACAGCUCUAGAACUGGUGUUGCUUUCAAUUGAAAAAAAAACCCUGUUAAAUCCAUCCUUCAAGAAGUGGCAUCUUCUUUCUACGUUCCAUCAAGAGCUUCAAAUAUCUUUCUAAUGUUACUAAUACUCUGCAGAUGAAAAGAGAUGGACUUAAAUGUGUUUUUUUAAUACAAAGUCAUUUAUGUUCAUAUUCACUAGCAAACGGAACUCCAAGAUUACGUGCUGAGUUUGCUGAUAUUACAUCUGAAUGACCUAUUUGAAUGGAAUUUGUGUAGUGAUUUUCUAAGUUUUUCAUUGUUUUCCAUACCUUUUACAAAAUUCAUAUCUCCCUUAUUAGUUAUUUGAUUUUAAUCAAAUUUUUGUUGCUCUGUUUCUCUGCACCAUCCGGUUCUUCUCUAGUGACACUGCUAUUGUCUUCACUUUCCUGUUUAAAUGUUCAUGUCUUCAUGCUCUGUUGAAACACUGCUCACACGUUCACUUUCUUCUUCAACAUCCAUAAUUCCCUGCUCUGCGUGAUCAUCAUCGGAAACAACAGUUUUUACCUCAUCUUCCUUUUCAAGAUUCAAUAUCAUUUUAUUUUAUUGGUCCGUGCAUGCAAACAUUACAUAGAAAUUUUGCUUCCAAUGGCUUUUUUGACAGGGAAAGUACAAAUAAUAGAAAAUACAGUAUAACAUUUAACAAUAGAAAACUCUGCGAUGUCAUUAGGAGAAAUAUGAUUUCAUCCAAUCCCUUUCCUGCAAACUCUCUGAUUCAACCCUUUUCUGCUGCCAGGUGGAAACAUGAGCAACUUGCACAACAUCAAGUGGGAAGGGGUACAUGUAGUACUGUCUGUGGAUCGUAAUAUGUCCCAGAAAAGAUGCCAAUUGGUCCAUUUCAUGUUCUUUUAAGCGAUGGCACUUGGGACAUAAUUGCCAAGUGUUUCCUUAAUCUCGUGGAGGUGAGUGGAUGAGGUCUUUCUGAAGUUGAAGUUGAAAUUGAAGUUUGAAGUUUAUUAACAACAACAAAAUGUAUGUACAUCAUAAAACAAAGUAUGCAAGGCAAAACAAUAAAAAACAAACUGUACAUACUACAUAAUGUACAAAACAAUGAAUUACUGCUUAAGCUUAAUUAAUGCUUACAUAAGACACAUUUAUACAAAAGUUCCAAGUUGUUGCUAGACCCCAACAAUCACACAACUACACUCACAAAACAGAAAAAACAUUGAAAACUCAAAAUAAAUACCUUUGAUUCCUUCGUCAAGGACAAAUUCCUGCCCUUCAUGGUGCCCUUGACGAGCAUCACUUUUUUGCGCAAUGGCAACGCCAACAAAUCUUUCCUGACCUGCUCUUCUGGGAAGUGGCAAUAGACGGCCACUGGCUCGUUUCCCCCGACUCCAACACGAGCCCAAACACAUGCGGCUCCUUGCCUCGUGGUCUUCGUAUUUCAAAUUGUUCCACAACACAAACCUUGAAAAUACCAGGCAUGAUGGCUGGAAAACACACGGCACUCAACUUAAAAAUAAAAAACUCUAACAAAAGUGAAAGAAAUACGGAAAUAACAACUAAAAACAGCUAAGCCCUGGCAUAAAAUCUUCAGUCACACAAAACACUAUCAGAAAACAGAAAUUACAUAGAAAACUAAAACUCAAAAUAAAUACCUUGGAUUCCUUCGUUAAGGACAGGUUUCGACCCUUCAUGGUGCCCUUGGCGAACAUAACCUUCUUUCUUAAUGGCAACGCCAAGAGAUCUUUGGCCACCUGGUGUUCAGGAAAGUGGCAAUAAACAGCCACUGGCUCCGACUCCCCCGACUCCAACACGAGCCCAAACACAUGCGGCUCCUUGCCUUGUGGUCUUCAUAUUUCAAAUUGUUCCACAACACAAACCUUGAAAAUACCAGGCAUGAUGGCUGGAAAACGCACGGCACUCAACUUAAAAAUAGAUAACUCCAACAAAA
rnacentral:lncRNA from 1 species